GACGAACGCUGGCGGCGUGCUUAACACAUGCAAGUCGAACGGGAUAAUUUGAGAGCUUGCUCUUAGAGAAUCUAGUGGCAAACGGGUGAGUAACACGUAGACAACCUGCCGACAGGAUGGGGACAACAUUCCGAAAGGAAUGCUAAUACCGAAUGAAGCGGAGGAGAGGCAUCUCUCCUCCGCGAAAGAUGGCCUCUGAAUAUGCUAUCACCUGUCGAUGGGUCUGCGUCUGAUUAGCUAGUUGGUGAGGUAACGGCUCACCAAGGCGACGAUCAGUAGCCGGUCUGAGAGGAUGAACGGCCACAUUGGGACUGAGACACGGCCCAGACUCCUACGGGAGGCAGCAGUGGGGAAUCUUCCGCAAUGGGCGCAAGCCUGACGGAGCAACGCCGCGUGAGCGAAGAAGGUCUUCGGAUCGUAAAGCUCUGUUGACGGGGACGAACGUGCGAAGGGUGAAUAAUCCUUUGUAAUGACGGUACCUGUCGAGGAAGCCACGGCUAACUACGUG
rnacentral:rRNA from 1 species